GACUCUUCUCGGCCUUUUGGCUAAGAUCAUGUGUAGUUCUGUUCUUGUCAGUUUUAAUAUCCGAAUAUCCACCCUAUCCAUCUCUCAUAGUUUUAUAGACUUUUGAUUGGAAUCUCAAAGGGCUGAGGCUGGAAAAAACAGCAGAACAAUUAAGUUUCCAGAAAUUUGACCCUUGGCCAUUUCUCUCUGAACUAACUCUC